AACGCGCUAGGGUCACUUUUGAGAUCAAGAAAGCUUUGUUCUUUUGCUGUUUAUAAUAAAACCUGUUGCUGCUCGCUCUUUUGGGUUCUGACUGCGUUUAUGAGCUGUAACACUUACCACAAAGGUGUGUAGGUUCACUCCUGAAGCCUGUGAGACCACGAAUCCACCGGGAGGAACGAACAACUCCAGAUGUGGUGCCUUAAGAGCUAUAACACUCACUGUGAAGGUCUGCAGCUUUGCUCCUGAGCUAGCUAGACCACGAACCCACCAGCAGGAAAAAACUCCGAACACAUUUGAGCAUCAGAAGGAACAAACUCUGGACACGCCGCCUUUAAGAACUGUGAUAUUCACUGCGACAGUCCGCGGCUUCAUUCUUGAAGUCAGACCAAGAACCCACCAAUUCCGGACAUAGGAAUACUAGCAGGGACUUUCUGGACAUUCGGCUCGGAGUUGGUUAGUUGUUCAGGAUGGUUCAAAGGUUUUGGCAGAGUUCAAAGACUGGGAAGCAAAGUUCAGCCAUGUUGGGCCUUUGGGCUCAUAGAUGAGCAAGGGUACCCCAA
rnacentral:lncRNA from 10 species